rnacentral:rRNA from 1 species
CCAAUAGCGUAUAUUAAAGUUGUUGCAGUUAAAAAGCUCGUAGUUGAAUUUCGGAACCGAUGGAUCGGUCAUGCCAAUCGGUGUGUACUGGUUUGAUUGGUUCUCACCUUCUAAGGAACCGUGAUGUCAUUAAUUUGGUGUCGCGAGAAAUUAGGACUGUUACCUUGAAAAAAUUAGAGUGUUUAAAGCAAGCUCACGCU